CCUACGGGAGGCAGCAGUGGGGAAUUUUGGACAAUGGGCGCAAGCCUGAUCCAGCAAUGCCGCGUGAGUGAAGAAGGCCUUCGGGUUGUAAAGCUCUUUUGUCAGGGAAGAAACGGAUUUUCUAAUACAGAGAUCUAAUGACGGUACCUGAAGAAUAAGCACCGGCUAACUACGUGCCAGCAGCCGCGGUAAUACGUAGGGUGCAAGCGUUAAUCGGAAUUACUGGGCGUAAAGCGUGCGCAGGCGGUUUUGUAAGUUUGUCGUGAAAUCCCCGGGCUCAACCUGGGAAUGGCGAUGAAGACUGCAAGGCUAGAGUUUGGCAGAGGGGGGUAGAAUUCCACGUGUAGCAGUGAAAUGCGUAGAUAUGUGGAGGAACACCGAUGGCGAAGGCAGCCCCCUGGGUCAAAACUGACGCUCAUGCACGAAAGCGUGGGGAGCAAACAGGAUUAGAUACCCUGGUAGUCCACGCCCUAAACGAUGUCUACUAGUUGUCGGGUCUUAAAUUGAUGUACGACAGCUACGCGNGAGUAGACCGCCGCGGGAGGUACGGUCGUCGAGAAGUUAAACUUAACGUAAAGAAAGUUAGUAGGCGNGAGGACGACGGCGACGACGACGGAGAGGAGGAG
rnacentral:rRNA from 1 species